rnacentral:rRNA from 1 species
UACGAAGGGGGCUAGCGUUGUUCGGAAUUACUGGGCGUAAAGCGUGCGCAGGCGGCUUCUCAAGUCAGGGGUGAAAGCCCAGAGCUCAACUCUGGAAUUGCCUUUGAGACUGAGUGGCUUGAGUACGAGAGAGGUGAGUGGAAUUCCCAGUGUAGAGGUGAAAUUCGUAGAUAUUGGGAAGGAACACCGGUGGCGAAGGCGGCUCACUGGCUCGUAACUGACGCUGAGGCGCGAAAGCGUGGGGAGCAAACAGG